rnacentral:lncRNA from 1 species
AUGUGCACUGAGGUGCCACACAGGGAGGACACAGGGAGCAUCCAACUGGGAAAGAAGGCCUGGAAACCUCUCAGGAGGACAGACAGAGCACCCACCUGGAGAAGGAGUCCUGGAAACCACAUGAGAGGAAGGAGGGAGCACUCAGCUGGGGAAGGAGGCCUGGAAACCUCUGGGGAGGAUGGAGGGAGCACCCACCUGGGGAAGGAGGCCUGGAAACCACCCAGGAGGACAGAGGGAGCACCCACCUGGGGAAGGAGGCCUAGAAACCUGGGAAGACAGAGGGAGCUCCCACCUGGGAAGGAGGCCUGGAAACCACAUGGGAGGACAGAGGGAACACCCACCUGGGGAAAGAGGCCUGGAAACCUCCCGGGAGGAUGGAGGGAGCACCCACCUGGGGAAAGAGGCCUGGAAGCCACCCAGGAGGACAGAGGGAGUAUGCACCUGGGGAAGAAGGCCUGGAAACCACAUGGGAGGAAGGAGGGAGCACUCACCUGCAGAAGGAAACCUGGAAACCUCCUGGGAGGAUGGAGGGAGCACCCACCUGGGGAAGGAGUCCUGGAAACCUCCUGGGAGGAUGGAGGGAGUAUCCACCUGGGGAAGGAGGCCUGGACACCUCAUGGGAGGACGGAAGGAGCUCCAACCUGGGGAAUGAGGCUUAGAAACUACCUGGGAAGACAGAGGGAGCACUCACCUGGGGAAGGAGGCCUGGAAACCACCCAGGAGGACAGAGGGAGCACUCACCUGGGGAAAGAGGACUGGAAACCACUCAGGAGAACAGAGGGAGCUCCCACAUGGGGAAGGAGGCCUGGAAACCUCAUGGGAGGACAGAGGGAGCUCCCACAUGAGGAAGGCAGCCUGGAAACUACCUGGGAGGAUGGAGGGAGCGCCCACCUGGGGAAGAAGGCCUGGAAACCACCCAGGAGAACAGAGGGAGCUCCCACAUGGGGAAGGAGGCCUGGAAACCACAUGGGAGGACAGAGGGAGUGCCCACAUGGGGAAGGUGGCCUGGAAACUACCUGGGAGGAUGGAGGGAGCACCCACCUGGGGAAGGAGGCCUGGAAGUCUCCUAAUAGGAUGGAGAGGGUACUCACCUGGGGAAGGGGGCCUGGCAUCACGUCUCAGCUCUGA